rnacentral:piRNA from 1 species
UGUGACUCUAUAGUCGUUGUA